GACCAACAAGUCUAUUUCGUUCGCUUUCCAGAUUCACUUCUUUGUCACUUCAAUGUAUACUUUACUAACUAUCUUCUUCGAAUUCAAAUAAGUUUUAAUUUUCCUAUUACAGAGUGGGUUUAGUUACUAUCUUCUUCGUUCGCUUUCGGGUGGUGGAAGGAUUCUGGUCCGACGGCUCUAGUUAACGUGGAGUUCAAAGACGCUGAGAAGAUGCUUCCACGCACAAGAGAGAGUUGCGAAUAAUGUGAUUUCCCUAGCGAUAUUCGAGUGUACCUAAUGAUUACGAUAGAAUAUCACGAUCCUUUCGUCGUGUUGUAGUACUGUACAGGAGAAGCUGAAAAAGACAUUGGUCUUCUUAUGAGAAACGGUAUGAUAUUUUGUUCCUUGCAGCUUUUUAUUGCUUCAAGAUGCCUGUAGUGACUAGUGAGGUGUUGGAAUUAGAAGUUUCUGAAAUCUGCUGAGUGUUGCAAGCUGGGGAUCAUGGGCGGUAAAAUUUUGAUGAAAUGGCCGAAGCAAAUUACAGCUGGUCUAGUUGAGCAGCUAAUAAAAGCAGAAAGGGACAUACAUAAAGCUCUUGUGAUAUUUGAUUCGGCAACGGCUGAGUAUCAUAAUGGGUUCCGUCAUGAUCACAAUACUUUUGGUCUCAUGAUCUCUAGGUUAGCCUCCGCGAACCAGUUCAGAUCAGCCGAAGGGAUGCUUCACAGAAUGAAGGAAGAAAAUUGUACGGUCACGGAAGAUAUAUUAUUAACCAUUUGCAGAGCUUAUGGACGUGUUCAUAGACCCCUUGAUGCCAUCAGGAUUUUCCGUGGGAUGGUAGACUUUCAGUUAAGACCCACCCAAAAAUCCUAUAUUACAAUAUUUGAUAUCCUAGUAGAGGAAAACCAUUUAAAGAUGGCGCUUAGUAUUUAUAGGGAGAUGAGAGAAAUGGGCAUUCCACGAAGUGUUGUUUCUCUGAAUAUUUUGAUCAAAGCACUGUGCAAAAAAAAUGAAACAAUUGAUGCUGCUUUACGGAUAUUUUGUGAGAUGCCAGAUCGAGGAUACCCACCAGAUUCUUAUACAUACGGUACUUUGAUUAAUGGGCUGUGUAGACAGGGAGAAAUCGCCCCCGCAAAGGAUUUAUUCCAUGAGAUGAGGCAGAAAGGCCUUGCACCUUCUGUUGUUACCUAUACUUGCUUGAUACGUGGAAUGUGUCAGUCUAAUAAUGUGGAUGAAGCUAUGAAAUUAUUUGAGGAGAUGAAGAGAACUGACAUCGAACCAAAUGUUUUUACUUACAGUUCUCUAAUGGAUGGUUUAUGUAAAGGUGGUCAAUCUUCUCAAGCAAAGGAGCUGUUAGAUAUGAUGGUCAAAAAACAUCAUUUGCCUAACAUGGUUACUUAUAGUACAUUAAUUCACGGACUGUGUAGUGAAGGAAAGCUUAGCAAAGCAGUGGAGGUUCUAGACAGGAUGAGGCUUCAAGGUUUAAAGCCAGAUGCAGGGCUGUAUGGGAAAAUCAUAAGUGGCUUCUGUGACGUAGGCAGGUAUCAGGAAGCUGCAAACUUCAUCGAUGAGAUGGUGCUUAGUGGUGUCUCACCUAACCGAGUAACUUGGGUCCGUCAUGUGAAAAUCCAUAACAUGGUGGUCCAAGGCCUAUGCAACAACAUUGAUCCAACACGUGCUUUUCAGUUGUAUCUCAGCAUGCGCACUAGGGGUAUCUCUGUUGAAGCUGGUACUUUUGAGUGUUUAAUUAAAUGCUAUAGUAAGAAAGGAGACGAGCACAAAGCUGCUCGCAUUCUUGAUGAGAUGGUGUUAGACGGUUGUGUUCCAGAUGAGGGAAUCUGGAAUGCAGUGAUGAGUGGACUUUGGGAUCGAAAGAAGGUGAGAGAAGCUACUGAGCUCCUGCUGGCUGGGCUGAUGCAUGACUUUGUUGAACCUCAAAGCUGAAUCUUUAUAAACUUUUGGUAUGUGACCAUUGCUGCAUUCUCACUAAAACCUUUAGCAGUAUCCUCUCCUUCCCUUCUGGGGAAAGGAGAAAAAAUGCAGAAUUACUUAGAUGUCAAUUAAAAGGGAUAUGGAAAGUGUUUGAACAGAAAGCUUGUUAAUCGCCUCCAUGACUUGUCAUAUUUGCGCAAAGGCUGCUGAAGGCAUUUAUGACAAUCGUGACAUAUAGAUUGCAAUUAGAAACAAGUUAUUUCCCUAAUGCUUUGAGUUAGUUGCGUAAUUCAAUUCUUUGCUAGGAUAUGCCUCUAGAAGUCAUAAAAUUUUUAAAUUUUAUACAAAUGUUUGUAUUCCUUUUUAAUUACUUGAUCUUGUGAUCUUAGAGGUUUUUUCUUCCUUAAAAUACUAUUCUAUUUUUAGCUUGUAUAAUUUUGAUUGACCAAAUCUUUUGCUGACCCAAGCUAACUGUAUCUGCUUCUUUCUCAUUGAGCAUAAGCUGACAUGCUUUUUAACUCCUAGAUCCCUUUUCUCUCUUUUCCAAUGGUUAAUGUCUCCUGAUGAAGUGAUGAUUAGAGCCUUCAUGAUUUGUAAAUAAAGCUUCAAAUUGAGGAAUUGGGUAUGCAAGACUUUCAAACGGGCUCCCUUAUGACCAACUCUUGCCUAUAGAUUCACUCUUUUCUUUUGCAGACACUUUCUUAUUUCUUUCCCAACCUCCUUAAAAACUCUGGUGAUGAGCCUGUUUGGAGGGAGGUAUUUGCUAGAGUCGUUGGGCAAGGUAAGCUCUAUGAUUUGUGCGGUCUCCUGCUUCAUUCAAAGCCAUUACUCAUGAUUGAAGUUCUUUGCCUAUGCACUGUAAACUUUUCAGUCAGGCGCUGUAAAUUUCCUAAAUCAAAGCAUGCGUUUUUCACCCUUGUUCUUCAUUUAUUCAAUUAUUGCAUUGUUGUUGAAGUUUUUUAUUUAUGGAUUUCUAUGUCUAUGGCCUAAGAGAAUUUCUCUUUUAUUAUGUUGAAUUUAGGGUUAACAUGAUAUUUUUAAAUGGUUAUGUUGUAUUCAUCCAAUAACAAAAAAUUGAACAAGUCAAUUAUUCUUGCUAGAUAAGAAAAUGAAUGCCACUCCCCAAAGCAUGGCCACACUGCACAUGGAGUGGAGGAGAGAGGGGGCAGGGGGAGAAUAAAUUGAUUUGCAAUGGGUUUAUUUAUGGCUUCAAUGACUUGUCUUCCACUAGAUAACACGUGAAAAAAAAUCUUAGCGUAGAUGACCAUAUCUGUUAAUUUGUUCUUUCAUUUCAUCUUCAUCUCUGUUGAUCUACUUAACAAAUUUGGAUUGAUUGGUACUUAGAGCUAAAAGUAUGAGUGCCCUCCUCGCACAAUCUAACACCUUUUCCACAUGUGAUUGAUUGCCAAAUUCAUCUUAACUUUGCAGGCUGUCCUUAGUAUUUUGAAUCGUUUUCCAAAAUUUGUCCUCUAAAUUUUAAUGGUGGCAUCUUUUCAUCUUGUUUUCAUGUGAAAGUAAUUUUUCCAGGCCUUGUAAAUUUCAGGUAUGACGGAAUAUCUAGAUUGUUACUGCUGACUUUGGGUGAUUUUUCUUCAUGUUGAUGUGGUAUUUAACAGUGGAUUCUAAUAGAUGUGCCCAAAUUGUUAUUAUAAAUUUAACCGGAAAAUGGAAAGGAGAGAAAAUAGCCUGCUUAUGGUGAUUUGAAACACUUUGUUAUAAAUCGUCGUCUGUUAGCAUUACUGUUUUAGAGGUUCACCUGCUUUACACCCCAUUCCCAAAAAAGUUUUUAACAAAAAAAGUUUGUUGAAGGUGAAGCUCUGCUUCAACUUGAAGGAGAGUAUGUUACCUUUCAUUGCUGCUGCAUCAAUUUCUCACUGUAACUUACGUGGUUUUAGCCUUCCCAGAUCAUAUGACAUAUUGUGCUUCUGCCGCAGGUAAUAUAUUUUCCUUCUCAUUGCCAAGUCACAGUUUCCUCUUGCUCCACCCUAGAUACAUAUUUGGAGACUUAUUCUACCUCUGUGUAUCUAAGUAGGAUCCCAUAUAUGUAAAACUUCCCUGACAAUCCCACAUUAAUGUUUCAGUUGAAGUAGCAUUUGGCAUAUUAUUGUCUUGUUUCAUAUAAGUGAUAGUACUUUGAUUCUAUGGUUAAUUGGAAAUUAGAUAGUUGUGAAACAGAGAUCAUCCUUAUUUUCUGGUCCUUUGCAGGAUAUAGAGCUCAUUUGGUUUAGCUUAAUUUGAAGGAGGAAAUAUUUCUAAAAAAGUAAAUAAAAGUAAGUAGGUGUGUUAGGAUAAACCUUUUCAGAAAUGGACGAGCACUUGGAAAAAGGCCCUUUGGUUCUCCAGAAACCACUUUUUUCUGGCUUACAAAAAGGAGCACUUUUGUUAGCUAGUACUACAAUCAAAAUAAAAGGGAAGUAAUGUCUCGUAUUCAUGAAUUUUGUUUUUGACAUAACUUUCGCUUUGUUCAUGUUCGUCCCCAUGUGACAUUUUCAAUGAUUUUGUAUCCUCACCUGUGAUUAUAAUUUUAUAAAUUUGUACUAUCCUUUGAACUGCAAAUCAUUUCAGUACUCAAUUAGACCUUUGAAUCAACUCGUCUUUAUAGACAGUAGGAUAUAUACUGCUUAGCCAGUGGUCCUUACUGAAUCCCCAGGGCUCCUCAUUCUAUCGCAUUCCUUUUUCUUUUGCCAUCGUCCAUUCCUUCAAUGUUUCCCAGAUUAGUUGAGGAGAGCUGAACUUUGGCAUGGAGGUCUCAGGUUGUUCCCCUCAUUCUUUGCCCAGUGCAUCACUUUAUAUGAUGGCAGGCUGUAUUGCAUUUGCAUGGUAUACUUGUUGCCUUUGAGAAUUGAAUGUGCUUUGAUUUGCUGAGUGAGAGUGCAUUCUUCUCUUUGGCAUGCUCCUGGCUUUCUUGAGAAGACCAAACUGCCUUCUUUUCUUCAGAUAUUUUCUGCGUGUGUAGACUUUCCAAAAGGAAGAGCCGGUGUUGAUCUUUUUUUCUUUUCUUUUUUUUUUCAAAUAGAUUAUCUAUUCAGAAUGGUAAUAUUUAUGAGAGGAAGAUUAAGUUUAAUGCUUUGCAUUAGUCUAUAUUAAUGACUGCCUACAUUAUGUCAAAAAAAAAAAACCUUUUUUCCCCUUGGUCUUCCGAUAAUUGAUUAUUAUCAUUUUGUUUUAGUCAUUCGUUUGUUUGGGAUUCGAAUUCUUUAUUUGAAGUAUGGGAUUCUUAGAUAGGACUGAUUGAAACAUGGGUUCUCUAACUUUUUAGGCGUAUCAUCUCCGUUGUAGAUUUCUCAAAUGUUCCUAUGACAAGCCUUUUGAAUUUGAGUCACUUAAACGUGGCAUGCAAAUUACAAAAUUUCACGAAGAUUUCAGGUUCCAACGCUUUCUUGCAUGGCGGAUUUGUCCGCCUCAGAGCUUCCAUAAAAUCUUCAACAUCUGAUAUUGAAUUCUUCUAACAACAGAGUAUAUCAGAAGCAUAGUUUUGUUGAAAAGGAAUCUCUAUAUAGUUAGGGCAGAGAUGAACCAUGGAAGUAAAACUAGAGAGAGAAGGGAAGCUUGUUAUGCCUUGCAAGAAACAAACUGAAAACUCGAUGAAAUCAGCGUUCACUGCAAUCUUGUUUUGUGGUUCUGAGCUCAUCAUGCCUUGCAAGUUAUAUGUUGCUCAUUUAAGCAUACCAGAAAAUGCCAGAUAUGAUAAUUCUCAAAAUAUAAUGCUUGGAUAUGAUAUACUGCCUCCGAUCCUAAUUAUAAGACCUCGUUCUUAUAAUUAAAACCGGAGGUAGUAAUAUUUAUUGUUUUUGUUGUUCUUGAGCCAAUUAAGUUUUAAUUUAGAUUCUUAAACAAAACUUUCAGUUUCAGAAUUAGAAGCAUGAACUGAAAUUUUGUUAAAUGAUAUUUCACCAUGAUCCUAUGGUUCUGUGGAGGGAUAAAAAUUACUCAAAAGGACGAACCCGUUAUUUUGCCA